CCUACGGGUGGCAGCAGUGGGGAAUAUUGGACAAUGGGCGAAAGCCUGAUCCAGCCAUGCCGCGUGUGUGAAGAAGGCCUUCGGGUUGUAAAGCACUUUCAGUGGGGAAGAAAGCCUUGGGGCUAAUACCCUCGAGGAAGGACAUCACCCACAGAAGAAGCACCGGCUAACUCCGUGCCAGCAGCCGCGGUAAUACGGAGGGUGCGAGCGUUAAUCGGAAUUACUGAGCGUAAAGCGCGCGUAGGCGGUCUGAUAAGCCGGUUGUGAAAGCCCCGGGCUCAACCUGGGAACGGCAUCCGGAACUGUCAGGCUAGAGUGCAGGAGAGGAAGGUAGAAUUCCCGGUGUAGCGGUGAAAUGCGUAGAGAUCGGGAGGAAUACCAGUGGCGAAGGCGGCCUUCUGGACUGACACUGACGCUGAGGUGCGAAAGCGUGGGUAGCAAACAGGAUUAGAUACCCCUGUAGUC
rnacentral:rRNA from 1 species